GAAAGAGGCCAAGGGCAGUAAGGACUGCUAAUCCCUAUUUCCAUGGUUAAACUCCGUGGCUCAUUCGCAAU
rnacentral:tRNA from 1 species